AAAGGAGAGAUUAAUCAUUGAAUAGCGCUCAUUGAAUAGACGACCUUUGCUUUUGUGUAAAUGUAAUGACCCGUACCUGUCAGGACAAUGUUUAAGCAGGUAGACAGGCACGCUGACGUGCGUGUUAUAGACGCGACAGUCAAGAACGCGUUCCGGUGGUCGUGGUUAGAAGAGAAAGAUACGAACGGCGAUUUCUUGUCUGAAUAUAUCAGGAAAUUAGACAAACCAGAUGUUCAGAGGGAGAUGAUGCCACAUCUGGUCCAGCUGAUGGAAGGUCUUGAAGUUCUCUGACUGGCCUCGACUGAAGAUGGUCGUCUCACUGGAUUUAAGAUGCACAAUGAGGGACGUCUGCAGAGACUGAGAAAGAGUCUCACCACAUCCUGACAUGAGGAAAAAGACUUUAUUGAAGACUACAAUGAGAAAAACUAUCAGACAGCAGACGGCUGCAUUCAAG
ensembl:lncRNA